ACAGGGCGGCGGCGGCGCGCGUAGGGGAAGGCGGGAAGGGCGGGAAGAGGGGGGAGGGCUGAGGGAGCCUGCAGGACACGCGCCUUGGAGCGCGGGUUUGCGUUUGCGUGUCCGCAGGGAUGAGGGGCUGUGAGCGGUGCUGAGGUGGUUUAGUUACUCGUCCCUGGAAGUCUCCUGGAGCAGAGGAUAUCAGCUUCUCCAGGAGCUCUAGGCAGUGAGAAGAUGAUGAGAAUUACGGGAGUGGCUGCCUUCAUUGGAUUUUGGCGUAUGCUUCUUCCGCAAUGAAUGCAAGUGUUGGGAAGGAAAAAAAAGCCAAUUUGCAAAGAGUGACAUAUAUGCAACAAGAAAAUACAAAACAAAAACCCCACAUGAUACGAAAAGGAGCUUACAACGUGAGAUCUGAAAACUUAAAACAAGAGAAGAGCUACUUCCUGAUGUUAAAUGGAUGAGAAUAUCUUUACGUGGGUGAGCUCUGAAGUUCAAAGCUGCUUUCCAAUCUAUUCCUCAACAUCCAUGCAUUAUAACUCCAUCAUUGGUGUUGGGAUUUGUUAGUGGCAUAGAGUGAAGAAACAUAGACCAUUAAUAGCUGAAAGAUACUGUGAUUGACUUUUUUAAAUGUUUUUAAUAAUUAAAUAUAUUCAGUAUGCUUUCUUGUUACAAAUUCCAACUUGACAUUUAAAGACAGAUAAACAGGAUGUGAGUAGAAGAUGCAUUUCCUUCCAUGACUGAUAUAAUCAAAACAUGUUUUUACAGAAGAUUUUUCACUCCCUUUAGUUUUCAGGUGUUUAAGGGUGAUGCGACAAUAAUAAUGCUGAACACUUAGCAUCUCCAUAUUCACCAGUCUGGAAAAUUCAAUCUGACUUCAACUGCUGUGCUAGAGAACCUCAACUGACCAGCACAGAUUCUAUGAUUUAUACUUACUGAGAUAGGGACAUUAUCAAAAAAUAGUAUUGGCAGUCACAAAACUCUAUAACCUGAUGUUCAGUAAGGAUAAAAAUGUCUCGUGCCCUUCUUUGUGUUCAUUCAUUGCUUUGGAAAUAAACUUUUUAAUUCAUAGCAUCUUACCUAUGUUGGUCACUUAUGUACUUGCCUAUUUACAAGCAUAUGUGUAUUGUUGAAGACAAGGUAAUUAUUUACAUCAAACAUUUUUGAGCAGUGAAAUAAUUUCUCAUUGCAGUUGCAAAUGAAUGUGAUAUCUGUCCCUUCCUAAUGCUCUUUAUGUUCUUGUAUGGUUUUAUAUCUGCUGUACUUUUAUCUUCUGACGUUUAUUUCAGUGUUAAGAGAUCAUUGAGUUCAGAGAGGGAAGGUCUGAUUUCAAAACUCAGCUCUCAACUUAUAUUUCUCCAUAAUACGAUUCUGGCAUGUCUAUUAGAUGAUUUCGACAAUUCCAGUUCUGAUGGUUUGUUGGUAAGGUGGCAGCAAGGGUUAAUUGCAGUUAAUGUGAUAAACUAUAGUGUGAUUUUUAGAAUCUUCUGAUAUUUUUCAAACUGAUUAAUGUUACAUUUUAAUACACAGAUCCAACUGAAAGCUGGGAAGACAUAUUGCAGUCAACUCCUGUUGGUUUUAGGUGAUUAUUAGGAGUCUGACAACUUCAAAUUGACUCAAGUUGUUUCAAGUUGAUUUCAAAUCAUUUGCUACAAAGCCUUUGAUUAACCAAGCCUUAGCCUUGACAAAAAUAUCUUCAACCUUUGUUCACAACUGGGAGAUGUAUGAGGUUAUAUAAUGUAAUGAAGCUGUACACAAAAAUGGAUACUGGCUGGAAAAACUUGGCAAAAUUUGUAAACAAAUCUUAUGAGAUCUUGGAAGUGCUGGACAGUUCUGAAAUUUCAGUAGCAAUGAAUGACAAUUUUAACUUUUGCCAAAGGGCAGCUGGCAGUUGAAUGCAAGUAGUAUGAUUCAGGAUAUCAUAGUCAGUCUGUUUGCUCAGGUAAAUAAAAGUUUAAGGUAUUACUUGUAUUUCUUGACUUCAUAGCAAGCUCCAAUUUGGAAUUAUAGAUUUUUCACAAAUACUUCUAUUAUUUGCCUAUAUUCUGCAUUAGUGUGAUCAUAGCACAUUGCUAAUGUAUCAAUUUGUCAAAAUCAGGGUUUGGGAUCUGUUUCUUCAGGCAUCUGCAUAUCUAUUUGAGAAAUCCCACUGUGUAAAUGAUUGAGAAGACAACUGGAGGCAAAAAAAAAAAAGCAUUACAAAUCCUGUAUUCAGUAUGAACAAAUCUACUGCUUGUCUUUUAACACUGUGUACAUAAUACAGGUCAAAAAUAAUUUAUGUACUUUACAUAUAGGUAUAUAAUUCUUUUUUGUAAAUAUCCCAUAGAAUUGGGAAAGGAACGUGGCACCAAAGAAGAUAUAAUUGUACAGAAACGUGUAAAAGAAAGUGUAACUAAGGUUCAGUUUUCUGUCAUGUUUUUACAUAACCAAGUCUAAGUGUUAAUCAACUCAGAAGAACAGGGAUUUUUGGUCAGGCUAUUUCAAACUGAUGUUUCUUGACAGUUUUUUUACCCCACUUUUUAUAACACCUUUUAUUUAGUUUAAGUGACUAAUUCCGAUUUUAGAGAAAAGAAUACCCAAUGCUCUAACCUCUCAGUAAGGUUCAGAAAACAUCUCUGAGACUUCCCAGAAGUUCUACAGUGAAAUUAUGGAGGAGAAAAGUUUGUA